AGACCUAAUGGCUAUUAAACCAACAAUCCAACUUGCAAUUAGAUAUAUAAUUAGACC
rnacentral:tRNA from 1 species